rnacentral:rRNA from 1 species
AACAAACGCUGGCGGCGUGCCUAAUACAUGCAAGUCGAACGGGGAAAGCUUUCGGGUGAGUACUAGUGGCGCACGGGUGAGUAACGCGUGGAUAAUCUGCCUUGAAGAGGGGGAUAACAGUCGAAAGAUUGGCUAAUACCGCAUAAGACCACAGGAACUGAGGUUCUAGAGGUCAAAGGUUUUUCGCUUCAAAAUGAGUCCGCGUAAGCUUAGCUAGUUGGUGAGGUAACGGCUCACCAAGGCGACGAUCUUUAACUGGUCUGAGAGGAUGAUCAGUCACACUGGAACUGAGACACGGUCCAGACUCCUACGGGAGGCAGCAGUAGGGAAUAUUGCACAAUGGAGGAAACUCUGAUGCAGCGACGCCGCGUGAGUGAUGAAGGCCUUCGGGUCGUAAAGCUCUGUCGCAGGGGAAUAACACAAUGAAGGUACCCUGUAAGAAAGGAUCGGCUAACUUCGUGCCAGCAGCCGCAGUAAAAC